UACAGACGGUCCCAAGCGUUGUUCGGAUUCAUUGGGCGUAAAGGGUGCGUAGGUGGCGCUGUAAGUCGGGUGUGAAAUUUCGGAGCUUAACUCCGAAACUGCAUUCGAUACUGCGGUGCUUGAGGACUGGAGAGGAGACUGGAAUUCAUGGUGUAGCAGUGAAAUGCGUAGAGAUCAUGAGGAAGACCAGUGGCGAAGGCGGGUCUCUGGACAGUUCCUGACACUGAGGCACGAAGGCCAGGGGAGCAAACGGG
rnacentral:rRNA from 1 species